AGAGAGAGACGUGGAACAUGGGAGACAAUAUCCCUACAGUACUUUCACAGUGAGAAGAAUGGUGGUGGUGCUGGGGACACAGCAAGAAGAUGGCCAUCUAUGAACCAGGACGUGACCUCU